UACGGGGGGGGCAAGCGUUGUUCGGAAUUACUGGGCGUAAAGGGCUCGUAGGUGGCCAACUAAGUCAGACGUGAAAUCCCUCGGCUUAACCGGGGAACUGCGUCUGAUACUGGAUGGCUUGAGUUCGGGAGAGGGAUGCGGAAUUCCAGGUGUAGCGGUGAAAUGCGUAGAUAUCUGGAGGAACACCGGUGGCGAAGGCGGCUCACUGGCCCGGUACUGACGCUGAGGCGCGAAAGCGUGGGGAGCAAACAGG
rnacentral:rRNA from 1 species